AAUACGGAGGGUGCAAGCGUUAUCCGGAUUCACUGGGUUUAAAGGGUGCGUAGGCGGGCAGAUAAGUCAGUGGUGAAAUCUCUGGGCUUAACUCAGAAACUGCCGUUGAUACUAUUUGUCUUGAAUAUCAUGGAGGUAAGCGGAAUAUGUCGUGUAGCGGUGAAAUGCUUAGAUAUGACAUAGAACACCGAUAGCGAAGGCAGCUUACUACAUGUUCAUUGACGCUGAGGCACGAAAGCGUGGGGAGCAAACAGG
rnacentral:rRNA from 1 species